AUUGAACGCUAGCGGCAUGCCUAACACAUGCAAGUCGUACGGCAGCACGAGGAGCUUGCUCCUUGGUGGCGAGUGGCGGACGGGUGAGUAACGCGUAGGAAUCUGCCUUGUAGCGGGGGACAACCUGGGGAAACUCGGGCUAAUACCGCAUAAUGUCUUCGGACCAAAGUUGGGGACCUUCGGGCCUAACACUACAAGAUGAGCCUGCGUUGGAUUAGCUAGUUGGUGGGGAAAAGGCCUACCAAGGCAACGAUCCAUAGCUGUCUGAGAGGACGACCAGCCCCACUGGGACUGAGACACGGCCCAGACUCCUACGGGAGGCAGCAGUGGGGAAUAUUGGACAAUGGGCGAAAGCCUGAUCCAGCAAUGCCGCGUGUGUGAAGAAGGCCUUCGGGUUGUAAAGCACUUUCGUUGGGGAAGAAAAAGCCAAAGUUAAUAUCUUUGGAAAUUGACGUUACCCAAAGAAGAAGCACUGGCUAACUCUGUGCCAGCAGCCGCCGUAA
rnacentral:rRNA from 1 species